rnacentral:rRNA from 1 species
CUACUUUGACGUUAGCGGCGGACGGGUGAGUAACACGUGGGUAACCUACCUAUAAGACUGGGAUAACUUCGGGAAACCGGAGCUAAUACCGGAUAAUAUUUCGAACCGCAUGGUUCGAUAGUGAAAGGUGGUUUUGCUAUCACUUAUAGAUGGACCCGCGCCGUAUUAGCUAGUUGGUAAGGUAACGGCUUACCAAGGCGACGAUACGUAGCCGACCUGAGAGGGUGAUCGGCCACACUGGAACUGAGACACGGUCCAGACUCCUACGGGAGGCAGCAGCC